rnacentral:rRNA from 1 species
GACGAACGCUGGCGGCGUGCUUAACACAUGCAAGUCGAACGGUAAGGCCCUUCGGGGUACACGAGUGGCGAACGGGUGAGUAACACGUGGGUGAUCUGCCCUGCACUUCGGGCUAAGCCUGGGAAACUGGGUCUAAUACCGGAUAGGACCACUGCCUGCAUGGGUGGGGGUGGAAAGCUUUUGCGGUGUGGGAUGGGCCCGCGGCCUAUCAGCUUGUUGGUGGGGUGAUGGCCUACCAAGGCGACGACGGGUAGCCGGCCUGGGAGGGUGACCGGCCACACUGGGACUGAGAUACGGCCCAGACUCCUACGGGAGGCAGCAGUGGGGAAUAUUGCACAAUGGGCGCAAGCCUGAUGCAGCGACGCCGCGUGAGGGAUGACGGCCUUCGGGUUGUAAACCUCUUUCAGCACCGACGAAGCGCAAGUGACGGUAGGUGCAGAAGAAGGACCGGCCAACUACGUGCCAGCAGCCGCCGUAA